CGAAGGUAGAUCUCUUUCAGGAAUUGGAUUAGCAGCACUUUAGAGUCAUCAGCGGAGGAAAUAUCAGGGGUUGCCUUAAAAGUUUUCCAGGAAUCGCCUUCUCACAGAGAAAAGUACUAUAAAUAUAAAAAUAAUAAUAAUAAACAGAAUGAAAUAAAGUGGGGUUCUAAAAAAGCUUCUGCAUUUAAAUCUCAAGUGCAAGAGAAGCUAAUGAAAAAGAAAUAUUGCUUAAAUGAAAGACUUUGGAUGUCUUCAAACAUGAUUUUGUAUCACUGUGAAAUAGAAGAUUUCCUUUGAUAGUCAUACAAAGGAUGAUCAGUGUUGUUGUGUGCUGUUAAUGUCUGAUAUGUAAAUAUGAAGAGGGGACGCUUUGAGAUGUGGUGUUUAAAAGUGUGAACCAGCCUCAGUUUCUUAAUUAGAACUGAAAACAUAUUUUAAAUCCAUAGAAUUGGUGGUGUUUGUUGUUAAAGAUUUUGUGUAUUAAAAUAUAUUUCCAACAUGUUUGUCUGGUUGUUUUGUAUUUAGGUACAGUAAAGUUAAACCUCAAGCACAGCAGCCGUGAGGCGCGUACACGCGGCUCGUUCGUGUUUCUGUUAUCAUCAAGCAAACGUAUCAGAUCUUCAGAGAACAGCGUAUCCUCACGAGGGCGGGAUAUUGUUAUUGAGUUACAGCUUAUUGUCAGCUCCUGAGACAAGUGGCCGUCCCUCCCGAGGGUUAAGCGUGAUAAAGCAUGACAGGGGCUUCACCGCUCAAAAACUGUAGUUCUGCAAAAAUAUUGCAUUUCUGUUUAUACAUUUUCAAACACAAUACAUUUUGUGUGGAGAAGAAAAAAAGUGGAUUAUUUGAUUAGCUUUAGUCUAAAGCACGUUUUGAUCAGUAGUUAUUAUUAUUCACUUUUAACAUUUGAAGCAUUUUAAUCAUUAUUGUAUUUAAUAUAAAUCUAUUAAAUAAUCUGAAGACAUUUUAACUGCUUAGUUUCGAUUCUAACAUGUUUUUGUGACCCAACGCAGCUUUUAUUUUAAUCCUAAAUGUAUUUAUUAAUAUACCAGCGGUAUAAU
ensembl:lncRNA